GAUGAAGAACGCAGUGAAUUGCGAUAAGUAAUGUGAAUUGCAGAUUUUCAGUGAAUCAUCGAGUCUUUGAACGCACAUUGCGCCCCCUGGUAUUCCGGGGGGCAUGCCUGUCCGAGCGUCAUUGCUGCCCUCAAGCACGGCUUGUGUGUUGGGCCUCCGUCCUCCUCCCGGGGGACGGGCCCGAAAGGCAGCGGCGGCACCGCGUCCGGUCCUCGAGCGUAUGGGGCUUCGUCACCCGCUCUUGUAGGCCCGGCCGGCGCUUGCCGACACAUCAAUCUUUUUUCCAGGUUGACCUCGGAUCAGGUAGGGAUACCCGCUGAACUUAAGCAUAUCAAUAAGCGGAGGA
rnacentral:misc_RNA from 1 species